rnacentral:rRNA from 1 species
UUCUGGCUCAGGAUGAACGCUAGCUACAGGCUUAACACAUGCAAGUCGAGGGGCAGCAUUGGGAUAGCUUGCUAUUCAGAUGGCGACCGGCGCACGGGUGAGUAACGCGUAUCCAACCUUCCUGCCAGUAGGGAACAGCCCGGCGAAAGUCGGAUUAAUGCCCUAUGUUCUUCAAUGCGGACAUCUAAGUUGAAGGAAAGAUUCAUCGCUGGCAGAUGGGGAUGCGUCCGAUUAGCUUGCCGGCGGGGUAACGGCCCACCGGGGCGACGAUCGGUAGGGGUUCUGAGAGGAAGGUCCCCCACACUGGUACUGAGACACGGACCAGACUCCUACGGGAGGCAGCAGUGAGGAAUAUUGGUCAAUGGGCGUAAGCCUGAACCAGCCAAGUAGCGUGCAAGGAUGACGGCCCUACGGGUUGUAAACUGCUUUUAUGCGGGGAUAAAGUGCGGCACGUGUGCCGCUUUGCAGGUACCGCAUGAAUAAGGACCGGCUAAUUCCGUGCCAGCCGCAGC